GCCAGAGAAGGAGGAAACUUUAUCAGAUUUAAUGACUAAAAACUUCCAGACAAUACUUAACUUGGCAAGGUUUAGCAGAAGCACAAGUGGGCUUGUUUUAAUAGUAGUGAUGUGGUAGCUCUGCUUCUCUGAGCACAUGAGCCGGGUGAAGUGUGAUGAGAUCCAUGGUUAGCCAGAGCUUUGAGAUGCAGGUGCACGGAUGCAUCUGUGGGUCUGCACAUCUGCUCACACAGUGAGCUUCCCAAAGAUGGCCCAAAGAGUCUUCAGCUCAAAAUGAGAUUUUAUUAGCAUUGGAACUAUAAAUCUUACUUGGUAAAUAGAAACUCACAAUUUAGAGAAUGUUUUUUCACAUUAUUCGAGGAGCAAGGUUCCUCUGAAGGCUUGUAUCCUGCACCUGACAAUCUUCAGUGCAAGACUGCUCAACACCACAAUUAUAAGAAUUUAUCUUCAAGAAACGAAAAUGAUCUGUGAUUCCUGUUUUUGGAGCUUGUACAAUGUACCAGUUCUACCCAUGACGUUUAAACUGCUGGCAAUCAAAAUAAUGAAAGCCAAACCUGCACGAUCUUAGACUUGCAAGGCUCAUCUGUCAGAAGAGGCUUGGUUCCUCCAGGACUGGGGAAUGAGAAGUUGCUCAGCUGAAAGUAGACGUGCUCCCUCCUCUGCCCUGAAGGCUGGGAACCGCAGGUAGCGACAGUGUGUGGUUAGUUUCCUGGCUGGCAUGAACAAUUGCUGCUGGCAGUUGCAAACUGUUCUCGCUUCUCUGGCCCUAAAGGACUAGGAUUGCUACUACCACAGUCCUGAGAACAAGCCACAGUUUACAAUGAAGUUCACACAGUUACAGAAUAACAAAAUAAUAAACAAGUUAAGGCUCUAGAGUAGCAUGUCUGCUGUGAAAUAGUCAGAUUCCUGUAGUGUCCUUUGACUGAGUAAAGCAAAGUCAAAGAAAUUGUAUGCCAGCAGCUAUAGUUAAGAGGCACCUUCUAUUCUAGAGAAUAUACACUGUUAAAUACGUCUAUGGAUCAUAAAAAUUAAAGAAUACUGACUUUUUAUUUAUAACCACCUCUAAGGUAAAUACCGUCUUACAGACAGUCUCAUACAGUACCCAGUAUAUUUCCAGUCGUGUGGGAGGUUAAUGUUUGUUAUACAACUUUCCAAGAGUCAAAACAAGUAAUUGCCGGAGCAUCAGUUAAUAAAUAAAAGAAGUGCCAAAGGCAGCUUGAGGUGCAGGCAAGAAGUAACCAGACAAAGAGAUCACAGGAAACGCUGUAUGUAUCUUUUCAUAUCUAAAAGUGUAGUACUGAAGUUCUGCCAUGAUAACCCAGGAAAAUCUGAGAAUAGAACCGGUGCAACAGAUCCUCCAGACUGGAGGUUUAGUGAGUGCUGAUAGUUUACAAACAAAUGCUGUGUGGCGAUGAGAGUUUGAUUCCAAAUAUUCAUCAGUACAAGUCAAACGGUCUAUACCAAAUCAUCAAGAUAAUACUGUUACAGGACAACAUCAGUAAGACCAAGACUGCAGUUUGCUGCUUUGCCUUUAAAACACUCAUAGGAAAACACUAGGAGAGUUUUCAGUGAUUCCAGGAAAAUUUAAUCUUUUUCUUUUAAGUUUCCCAGUACCAGGUUGCUAGGAAACGUUUGCAGUAUAACUAAAGAGGAAUGAAGUAUAUUACAGAGGUAUAAAAUAGUCCAGUGUUAACUGAGUAGAGCAAUAGUUUAAGAGCUAUCAUUCGCACCAAGAACUGAAAACUCUGCAACAUUCUCAAUUAAUUUUAACUUUUAGUGACUUUCCUCUAGAAUUUAAUUUUUGUUUCCAGAGAGUCCUUGCCUGAAAAAGCUCAGUGACAGCUUAUAAUAUUAUUGUAAAAACAGAGACUCUAUUUUCAGAGUUAAAAAGGCAAUCUAUAUUGAAGGCUGUCAUAAUUUUUACUCUAUAACAAUACGUGUUAUUUAUUUGGUAACAUUAACUGUAAAUAAAAGUAAUAAAUAUUAAUUUUCAUGUUGUGUAUCAAACUGAAUGAGAAAGAAUGCACUAGCUGAGGCAAAAUAAAUACAUAUAUCAUGUUACUCAAAUUAAAGAAAAAGUCACUAGUUCAUUAAUCCUUAGAUUUCUAGACCCAGAUAUAUAUUAAAGGCAAGAUAAAGGUAGAGACUGAGCAGUAAUAUUAGAAGCAUAUUUUUCAAAAUAUGUAUCUACACACAUUUUUAAUUUUGGGUGGGACAAUAUAUAAGAUAUGCACUGAUUUCUAAUUACCUCACUAAUGCCUUGUCUUAAUGUCUUCAAACUUAUCCUGGAGUCCCUUGUUUGGUGGAAGGGAAUUUCGCAGUGAAUCUCAGAUGCCAUGCUUUCCUGCAAAUAAAGUUAAGAUCAUUUGAUUUUUCUUACUUUUCUCCACAUUGAGCAAACCCCUCUAUGAAAACCUAUAAAAGAGAAGACUACCCAUCUGCUCCUGUCUACCACUACACCCUGGAAAGAACAACUUGCCAACCUGUCAAAAAACAAGAACAGAGAAUCAUCCAGAAGUCAAAUCUUUGCAGGGCCUAGGAAGAGUUUGGAAGAUAUUCAAAAUGUUACUGGAUGGGAUGACAAGUAGCCUGAUUUAACUUGAAAGUUAUCCCUACUUUGAGUGAGGGAGUGGAUCAGAUGACCUGCAGAGGUCCCUUCCUACCUAAAUUCUUCUGUGAUUCUAUAUGGCACCCUGUAGCUCUUGGGAUUAUAGGGGUUCCUGGGUAAAUGCUAAAACUGUUCAGUAACACACUGACACACAUCCUUCAAAACAGUUUAGGACCUUUAAGAGAAAUAGUUGGAAAGCUGCCAGUGCUGGGCAUGGGAUACUUGUCUGCACUUGUGAGAUUACAGAGCUUUAGCGCUAUGAAAUGCACGAUGAAUUGUGCCAUGCUUAUUUAGACAAGUGUGUAGAAAAUAACCAGCUGCAGUCCUGCUUUUCCACUCAUGAGUAUUUCAAGAACCUUGUAAAAGGAAAACUUGUAACAGCUGGGAAAGUACAAAAAGAUUUUAGAAAAAAGAAAAUAUUAUGGAGUGCUGUAGCAACUGGAGGAAAAAUCAAGCUUGGAUUGUAACUCCUCCAAGGACAGAAGCUGGUGAUUAGAAGGGGCUGAAUUGUUGUGUGUAUGAGGAAGCUCAUCUGGGAGGCAUCGGUCACCUACUGCUCCCUCUAUAUUUUUGACAUGGGGUGACACACAUGGCAAGGAGAGGGAACAGUGGUGCUGAUCACGAUGAAGGAUCUCAGCAGCACCGGUGGGAAGGAGGGAAAAAAAUCAAGUGAAUGUGACAGUAAAGAGUGGAGAGGCGCAGAACUGUAAUGCUCAAGAGGAGACUGCGUAACACUUUCCACAAAAGAUUUCCUAUGGUCAGAAAAUCUAUACAGAAGUAGCAGCGGAUGAGAAGGGAAGAUAUGGAAAUCCAAGGCUGCCUUUGCCUCUGAUGGACACUCUGCAACCUGUAGUGGCUAUUUUCCCAGUACAAUUUCUGAGAGGACUGGCUUGAGAAAGUGUAACAGAACUACAUAAAUGCCUACACAGAAAAGAUUGUGCAUAAAAGCUGUAUAAAUUAAAGGAAUGAACUGUCCCAGGUGUACCUGCUGCAGCACGGACUUACCCACAGCCACAGAUGCUUCGAGGUGUACCUUCUCCAGCAUGGAUUUAUCCUUGGGCCUCCAUCCCUCCAGAGGCAUACCUGCUGCGGCACAGACGUAACCACGGCCACAGGUAGUGGAAAUAAAAAUAGUUUGGAAAAACCAUACAUAAGAUUGCUUUUUGUUCAGAAGUUACAAAUGAAUGAACAGGAGCAGAUACCGAAAAGAUGUUUCACAGGGAAACCUUCUGGGGAAGUCUGAGAAAUUAAAAGCCAUUGAUACUAUUUCUCUGUGAUUAAUAGGUCAGCGAAGAGCUGCAGUUUUGAGCUGCAUUUCUGACCAUUCAGGUAACCUUUUUCAUUGAAGAUGUACAUUUAGCCACAGGCCGACGUUUUACUGAACAUUUUCUGAUGUUAGCCUGUAGACAAGCAGUUUAUUUUUAAGUGACUCUGAUCAACUGCACUUUAAUGACAGUGACAGCUAAUUCUGAUCUCAUUUUUGCAAUUGCAUUUGCAUUUACAUUUGCAUUUGCAAGGAAAUGCAAUUGCAUUCCUUCCAGUAACAUGCCAGCAAAUAUAUAUGACUGUGGCACUUGCAAACAAUCCACAAUGAAUAAUUCACUCGGUGAGUUCAGAGUCUGUUUCACAACAUGGAAUCAUCAUGAGUAGAUUAUAAUUUCCGUGAAUGUAUUCAUGAUUAGACUGAACUUUGGUGAGUUGUUUUCCAUUGUGGAUUAACUGUCAGCAAUUAACUGCAUGCCUGAUCCUUGAUAUUUAGCAUUUGAGGUGUGUUAAUUUUUGGUGAUAGGCUUUUAUUGAAUGCUUCUUUUUCUGCAUGUCUCCAAAGGGAUCAGUUGGAAGACAGCAUAGAGAAAAGUUUAUUAAACAAAUAUGGGACUUUGUGGAUAAGGAAGAUGUUUUUUUCAGAAGAAAAUAUUUCCCUCUUAACUAGAGCAGAACCAGACAUCUGUUAUGCAAAAUAAAGAAGGUUGUUUUCUAUUUGAAAGAAGGGAACAUUGACCGAGCACGGAGGAGCCACCAGGGCAAAUAUAGAAACCUGCCGGGAACUGCAGACAUGCACAGAACAGUACGCUUUUGCUGGACAGACUUAAUCUCUGGCAACAAAAGAUGGUGGUAUCUUACUUCUGCUUAUGCAAAACAUUUUAAACGUGACAUAAAUUAACAGAAAUAACUGAAAUCUCUGGAAACUAAGGAAGAAAAUACAGAGGCAUGUCAUUAAAACUAAAAAGGCAGAAGUCUGUAAGAGUGAAUCUCUAUUAUCCUGAUUCAAGAAAAAAGUAGGAUGGAAUAUUUAUAAAUUCUUUACAGACUCUAGAUAACGGAGUUAUUCUGCACAGAAUUAGACCCAAAUGGAAAAAAGUGAAAUGAAACAGAAGACAUUUUACUUGAAUGUAUGUCUGUCAAAAUUCUUCCUCAAAUGAUUGAUGAAAAAUGGCUAAGCUUCUGAGUUAAUCAAUGCUGUAACAAAAAACAGUGUGUCGGGCACAAUUUAAUUUUUUAUAGUACUUGAUGGCUUUGCUUUAAUUGCAAAUUUAUUACCAAAAUAAACCUGAAAGGUAGAUGAACUGGAAAUAAUCCACAUAUAGCAAACUAGAGGUUACGACUAAAGUACAUCUAAUGCACUUCUCUCUUUCUUGGGUAUGUACAAUACCCGUUGAAGCAAUAACAAUCAUAGAAGAAAAAUAUAAUCCAUAAAUACCUUCAGAUUGUAUUAGCAUUAUGCAGUGGAUCAAACAUAUUCUUGAAGUAAAUUCAUUUUCUUCGAUGGAGUUACAUCAUAGAGAAGUUCGGUUCAGUGUAUUUAAUUUCCACUGCGCGUAUUGAACAGGGGAAGGGUGUUUAAGCUCAUAAUUGGCACACCAAUGUAUGGAAGAGAAGUAAAUAUGCUAUUAAUUAGGAGCUAAAUAUUGACACAUAGCAAGAUUAAAUUAUAGCAAAACACUAAAUGUAACUUGCUUAAUGCAUUAUUAAGUAUCCAAAUAUUGUGUAUAUGGAAUUGUAAUUAUAUGCUUGGAUUCUGAACUGAUUAUAUGGCAAGAAAAAAUAAGAUUUUUCCAAACACUUGGGUCUGGCUUGUCUUCACCCCGACAAAAGUCAGUGACAAAAAUAGAAUUAACCAGCGUUGUGUUUUGUCCCACCUAUUAC